UACGUAGGGACCGAGCGUUGUCCGGAUUCAUUGGGCGUAAAGAGCUCGUAGGCGGCUGCUCAAGUCGAAUGUGAAAACUCGAGGCUCAACCUCGAGCCUGCAUUCGAUACUGGGCGGCUAGAGUCUGGUAGGGGGGAUCUGGAAUUCCUGGUGUAGCGGUGGAAUGCGCAGAUAUCAGGAGGAACACCAGUGGCGAAGGCGGCUCACUGGCCCGGUACUGACGCUGAGGUGCGAAAGCGUGGGGAGCAAACAGG
rnacentral:rRNA from 1 species